GAUGAACGCUGGCGGCGUGCCUAAUACAUGCAAGUCGAGCGAACAGACGAGGAGCUUGCUCCUCUGACGUUAGCGGCGGACGGGUGAGUAACACGUGGAUAACCUACCUAUAAGACUGGGAUAACUUCGGGAAACCGGAGCUAAUACCGGAUAAUAUAUUGAACCGCAUGGUUCAAUAGUGAAAGACGGUUUUGCUGUCACUUAUAGAUGGAUCCGCGCCGCAUUAGCUAGUUGGUAAGGUAACGGCUUACCAAGGCAACGAUGCGUAGCCGACCUGAGAGGGUGAUCGGCCACACUGGAAGUGAGACACGGUCCAGACUCCUACGGGAGGCAGCAGUAGGGAAUCUUCCGCAAUGGGCGAAAGCUUGACGGAGCAACGCCGCGUGAGUGAUGAAGGUCUUCGGAUCGUAAAACUCUGUUAUUAGGGAAGAACAAAUGUGUAAGUACCUAUGCACGUCUUGACGGUACCUAAUCAGAAAGCCACGGCUAACUACGUG
rnacentral:rRNA from 1 species